rnacentral:snRNA from 1 species
AUACUCAUUUCAGCAGCACAAAUACUAAGAGUGGAACAGUACAGAGAAGUUUAGCAUGGACCUUGCUUAAUGAUAGCAUGCAAAUUUAGGAAGCAUUCCAUAUUUUU